rnacentral:rRNA from 1 species
AAUAGAUACCCGGGUAGUCCAUGCCGUAAACGUUGGGCACUAGGUGUGGGGGCCAUUCCACGGUUUCCGCGCCGCAGCUAACGCGUUAAGUGCCCCGCCUGGGGAGUACGGCCGCAAGGCUAAAACUCAAAGGAAUUGACGGGGGCCCGCACAAGCGGCGGAGCAUGCGGAUUAAUUCGAUGCAACGCGAAGAACCUUACCAAGGCUUGACAUGUGCCGGACCGUCCCAGAGAUGGGGCUUCCCUUCGGGGCCGGUUCACAGGUGGUGCAUGGUUGUCGUCAGCUCGUGUCGUGAGAUGUUGGGUUAAGUCCCGCAACGAGCGCAACCCUCGUUCCAUGUUGCCAGCACUUCGGGUGGGGACUCAUGGGAGACUGCCGGGGUCAACGUCGGAGGAAGGUGGGGACGACGUCAAAUCAUCAUGCCCCGUUAUGUCUUGGGCUUCACGCAUGCUACAAUGGCCGGUACAAAGGGUUGCGAUACUGUGAGGUGGAGCCAAUCCCAGAAAGCCGGUCUCAGUUCGGAUUGGGGUCUGCAACUCGGCCCCA